GCUCUGGUGGCUCAAUCGGAUAGAGCGUUGGACUUCUAAUCCAAAGGUUGCGGGUUCAAGUUCCGCCCAGAGUA
rfam:Perkinsus marinus ATCC 50983 gcontig_1104296140516, whole genome shotgun sequence.